ensembl:lncRNA
UUUUAAUUCAUAUAUUAGGGAUUGCUCACAAAAGCUUUCUGUUGCCAGGCCAGGAAGGCAGAGCUGUAAGUGCAGAUUUAAUUGCAGCUGGCUCAUAGAUGAUGCAUAGGAAAUAACCCAUCCAAGGCCACUGCAUGAUAUAUUAAUUCACAGUCCAGCACAGACAUAGGUAUGAAUGUUAGUACAGACGGAUCCUGGGAGACUGGAGAGCCUGCACAGGGUUCACAUUGUUCUCAGCCGCAACUGCAGCAGCACUUCAUGUUGGCCCCGUGGAGGCGGCCCAGCCCUUUCUCAUUUGUAAGGUCAUUCUUUAAAGCCAUCCAUUAUAGGGAAGGAGUGGAGGGAGUCCCUGGGGUCCUCUGGGCUGCAGAUUGUUAUACUAGCAUGCUAGGGGGGAUUGGUUUCUAGGAAGCAGGCGGCACGACACAUCCCAGAGGCAUUGACAGCUAUUGUGUGCAUGCCCGCCCUACAUCACUGCCGCUAAUCUCUAACUGAGAGAAACCUGACCGCUAAAUAAUGGAAGAGCUCAAUGCCAGCGCACUCACCUAUUUCCUGGCAUGGACCGAUUUGCUCGCCACAAUUCAUGUGUUCUUUUCAAAGUCUUCUGUCUUACAUGGUACAUUGCGAAAGGGAUUAUCUUUGAUGCCAGGGCUGUGUCGCUCGAAUAACACGGUAUGUUUUAUUGAACGCUGCCACAGUUAUCUCAGGUCUUCACGUAAUUGUCGAGACAAUAUUUACGUCAGCGUGUUAAUAACUGCAGAACAAGCUUAUUGGAAAUUCUGUUCGAAAUGUUAUUAUUUAAAACAUUUUAUAUAGUGCCUUUUAUAUAGUGAUUGAUGUUAGUAAUGUUCUGUGGUGCAUUCACCAUCAAACAGGCUUAGUGUAGAGGGAGGAGUGUGUUUGCUUGCCAGAGAGAGAGAGAGAGAGAAGUCUUCGCUUAGACUGUGUGUUACCCUACACCACAGACAGUGAACUUUCAGACAGAAGUAGAGUAUACAGAAAGAGCUCCCUGGUGCCUUAUUCGAGAGCCAUAGAAAUCCACUGGAGGAAAAUUUCAUUAACUCAGCUCGUUACACUCCAGCUAGACUGCAGACUUUCCGCACUUAAAGCGGCAGAUCUGCAAAGAUGUAAAGGUUGCAUUGUAGUGGAUAGCUGUCGAGGACUCGAAGGUGUUUGAUUUAACAAACUGAAAAAAUCUCAUUACACAUAUUCUUCUAUUGACUUUUUGAUUGAUUUCCUCCUGGUCUGGAAAUGUUUUGAAGCGUAGAUCAAAGGUUAUUCUUGUGUCGCUUGAAAAAGAAACGCUGGGGAAGUUGCUACAUCGAAGUGUCUGCUGCGCUGGAAUGUAGUAACUUGGUGUAAUACUCGAACGUUGGGAAAAUGUUGCUGAAAUGUGAGCAGAGUUAUGGACCCCUUUAGCUGACUGGGCCUCAUUCACAGCUAAAGUAAAAGCAACGUGAGAAACUAUAAGUGUGCAAGAACAACUGUUUCUCUGUUUCGGUCAUUUGCCAGUUGCACUCAGGCAGCGCUGUCCACAAACCGUCAUGUUGCGGGAGACUUUACAGGCUGUCCCUUGUCCAGCCAUUGCCAACGUAAACACUCUCUGACUUUCCUCUCCGUCUUUCCGCAAGCUUACCUGGAACCAUUCCUGAGUCCUCCAUCUUUUCUUUUUCGUGUACACACAAACCUCUUCCAGUGGCUCCUUCACAAGGUUUUCCUGCCACUCUGAG